CCUACGGGAGGCAGCAGUAAGGAAUAUUGGUCAAUGGAGGCAACUCUGAACCAGCCAUGCCGCGUGCAGGAUGACGGCCCUAUGGGUUGUAAACUGCUUUUAUACAAGAGAAAACCCUGGUACGUGUACCAGGUUGAUAGUAUUGUAAGAAUAAGCAUCGGCUAACUUCGUGCCAGCAGCCGCGGUAAGACGAAGGAUGCAAGCGUUAUCCGGAUUCAUUGGGUUUAAAGGGUGCGUAGGCGGACUGAUAAGUCAGUGGUGAAAUCUCUUUGCUUAACAAAGAAACUGCCAUUGAUACUGUCGGUCUAGAGUAUAGAUGACGUUGGCGGAAUAUGACAUGUAGUGGUGAAAUACUUAGAUAUGUCAUAGAACACCGAUUGCGAAGGCAGCUAACGAAACUAUAACUGACGCUGAGGCACGAAAGUGCGGGGAUCAAACAGGAUUAGAUACCCUGGUAGUCCGCACCGUAAACGAUGAUUACUCGUUGUUGGCGAUAUGACAGUCAGCGACCAAGCGAAAGCGAUAAGUAAUCCACCUGGGGAGUACGCCGGCGACGGUGAAACGUCGAAAGGAUUAGACGG
rnacentral:rRNA from 1 species